rnacentral:rRNA from 1 species
GAUGAGAAGAGCUUGCUCUUCGAUUCAGCGGCGGACGGGUGAGUAAUGCCUAGGAAUCUGCCUGGUAGUGGGGGACAACGUUUCGAAAGGAACGCUAAUACCGCAUACGUCCUACGGGAGAAAGCAGGGGACCUUCGGGCCUUGCGCUAUCAGAUGAGCCUAGGUCGGAUCAGCUAGUUGGUGAGGUAAUGGCUCACCAAGGCGACGAUCCGUAACUGGUCUGAGAGGAUGAUCAGUCACACUGGAACUGAGACACGGUCCAGACUCCUACGGGAGGCAGCAGUGGGGAAUAUUGGACAAUGGGCGAAAGCCUGAUCCAGCCAUGCCGCGUGUGUGAAGAAGGUCUUCGGAUUGUAAAGCACUUUAAGUUGGGAGGAAGGGCAUUAACCUAAUACGUUAGUGUUUUGACGUUACCGACAGAAUAAGCACCGGCUAACUCUGUGCCAGCAGCCGCGGUAAUACAGAGGGUGCAAGCGUUAAUCGGAAUUACUGGGCGUAAAGCGCGCGUAGGUGGUUUGUUAAGUUGGAUGUGAAAGCCCCGGGCUCAACCUGGGAACUGCAUCCAAAACUGGCAAGCUAGAGUACGGUAGAGGGUGGUGGAAUUUCCUGUGUAGCGGUGAAAUGCGUAGAUAUAGGAAGGAACACCAGUGGCGAAGGCGACCACCUGGACUGAUACUGACAC